rnacentral:rRNA from 1 species
AAAGCUUGCUUUUGGAANGNCAGCGGCGGACGGGUGAGUAACACGUGGGCAACCUGCCUGUGAGACUGGGAUAACUUCGGGAAACCGGAGCUAAUACCGGAUAAUAUAAGGAACCUCCUGGUUCUUUAUUGAAAGAUGGUUUCGGCUAUCACUCACAGAUGGGCCCGCGGCGCAUUAGCUAGUUGGUGAGGUAACGGCUCACCAAGGCGACGAUGCGUAGCCGACCUGAGAGGGUGAUCGGCCACACUGGGACUGAGACACGGCCCAGACUCCUACGGGAGGCAGCAGUAGGGAAUCUUCCACAAUGGACGAAAGUCUGAUGGAGCAACGCCGCGUGAGCGAUGAAGGCCUUCGGGUCGUAAAGCUCUGUUGUUAGGGAAGAACAAGUGCGAGAGUAACUGCUCGCACCUUGACGGUACCUAACCAGAAAGCCACGGCUAACUACGUGCCAGCAGCCGCGGUAAUACGUAGGUGGCAAGCGUUGUCCGGAAUUAUUGGGCGUAAAGCGCGCGCAGGUGGUCCUUUAAGNCUGAUGUGAAAGCCCACGGCUCAACCGUGGAGGGUCAUUGGA